GUGGACGCCACUUCUUAAUGUCGGGGGUCUUCGCGGCGCUCACCUCGGCUCCUGGGGUUCGGGACGGUACGCAGCAGACACCUUCGCGCCGAAGGCGGUAGGGCGCCACGGAAAGGAACCGCUGUAGGCACGUAAGGCCUCGUGAGGUUGCGUCGCGCGCGGAGCCCUCUGGGACUUGUAGUUCUGGAGAUGGAGCGAGCUGUGCCGCUCGUGGUGCCUCUGGGUCAGACAGAGGUGUUCCAGGCCUUGCAGCGGCUCCAUAUGACCAUCUUCUCCCAGAGCGUCUCACCAUGUGGGAAGUUUCUGGCGGCUGGCAACAAUUAUGGGCAGAUUGCCAUCUUCAGCUUGUCUGCUGCUUUGAGCUCAGAAGCCAAAGAGGAAAGUAAGAAACCGGUGGUGACUUUCCAAGGUGGGUAUAGCUGUGGAGUCUGGCUUCAGGACUUUGGGUGGGAUUGGCUCACUCAGUUCUGCAUUUCUCUUUAGCCCAUGAUGGGCCUGUCUAUAGCAUGGUUUCCACCGAUCGACAUCUGCUUAGUGCUGGGGAUGGGGAGGUGAAGGCCUGGCUUUGGGCGGAGAUGCUCAAGAAGGGCUGUAAGGAGCUGUGGCGUCGUCAGCCUCCAUACAGGUGAGCCAGGGCCACGUGGAUAGAGGGUGCAUCAGGGUGAAGCCACUUCCUCACUGACCUUGCC
rnacentral:sRNA from 1 species